rnacentral:rRNA from 1 species
CUUAGUAGCGGCGAGUGAAGCGGCAAAAGCUCAAAUUUGAAAUCUGGCUCUUUCAGAGUCCGAGUUGUAAUUUGAAGAAGGUAUCUUUGGGUCUGGCUCUUGUCUAUGUUUCUUGGAACAGAACGUCACAGAGGGUGAGAAUCCCGUGCGAUGAGAUGAUCCAGGCCUAUGUAAAGUUCCUUCGAAGAGUCGAGUUGUUUGGGAAUGCAGCUCUAAGUGGGUGGUAAAUUCCAUCUAAAGCUAAAUAUUGGCGAGAGACCGAUAGCGAACAAGUACAGUGAUGGAAAGAUGAAAAGAACUUUGAAAAGAGAGUGAAAAAGUACGUGAAAUUGUUGAAAGGGAAGGGCUUGAGAUCAGACUUGGUAUUUUGUAUGUUACUUCUUCGGGGGUGGCCUCUACAGUUUAUCGGGCCAGCAUCAGUUUGGGCGGUAGGAGAAUUGCGUUGGAAUGUGGCACGGCUUCGGUUGUGUGUUAUAGCCUUCGUCGAUACUGCCAGCCUAGACUGAGGACUGCGGUUUAUACCUAGGAUGUUGGCAUAAUGAUCUUAAGUCGCCCGUCUUGAAACACGGACCAAGGAGUCUAACGUCUAUGCGAGUGUUUGGGUGUAAAACCCGUACGCGUAAUGAAAGUGAACGUAGGU